UGAGUCUUUCAUGCUUGUCUCUCGGGGUCACAAACGAGUUCCUGGUAACUCCAUUGAUAAUGCCCUGGGCGAAAGUCCCCGGGCCUAGGAUAGAAAGUAUCAAGGUGUAAAAAGUGCAUUCCGUAAUGCAUUCACCUAUAUUCCGCGGAAUUUCGCCUGGUGUGUGAUCAAGAGGGUUUUCCGAAUCCUUUGCACCAGGUUGUCUGCGGAAAUCUGCCAGAGUUUAACCUUAGAUAUGGACGAGUUGGUAGGACUUUCCGGGAGUUUAUUCUCUCGGAGGGAAACCGCCAACACAGAAUGGGGCUUACGUUGAGAAAUUC
rnacentral:RNase_MRP_RNA from 1 species